rnacentral:tRNA from 1 species
GUCCAGGGUAGCCUAGUGGAUUUGGCAUCUGCCCGGUAAGCGGAACGUUGUGGGUUCGAUUCCCGCCACUGGACA